rnacentral:rRNA from 1 species
UACGGGGGGGGCAAGCGUUGUUCGGAAUUACUGGGCGUAAAGGGCUCGUAGGCGGCCAACUAAGUCAGACGUGAAAUCCCUCGGCUUAACCGGGGAACUGCAUCUGAUACUGGAUGGCUUGAGUUCGGGAGAGGGAUGCGGAAUUCCAGGUGUAGCGGUGAAAUGCGUAGAUAUCUGGAGGAACACCCGUAGCGAAGGCGGCACUCUGGGCCGGUACUGACGCUGAGGAGCGAAAGCGUGGGGAGCAAACAGG